CCAAGGUUAUUAGAUUCUACAGGUUACCUCAGUCGGCAGAUUUUAGGCGAGAGGUGCGCGGAGGACGGCGGGUGUGCGUGACGUAGUUCUGAGACCCGCUGUAUCUCUUUUUAAUACCUUCCAUUUCUUUCUUUCUCGUACGGUUUAAUGGCAAUGGCCGUUGGUUUGGUAGUGGUUUUGUGUCGUUUUUGUAUUAUUUCUUUAUUUUCUAAUAUUUCUUUAAGUGUUACUGGUUAAUUUAAUUGUGGUCUGUGAACUACACAUAUUUAAGUACUUUGUGGACAAUUUAUUAUUUGCGUAGAUCUCAGGAACUGGCAAUUAAAAUGCUGUGAACUCAGUAUACAGUUACUACUUGUCAAAAUAGCCUAGAAAAGGCUAAAAAUUUGGAAAAAUUAUUAAAUUUCAUGCUUUCCCGAAGAAUACCGAAAUUACUCAAAUAUGGGUGCAGAUUCAAAGGGUGUAGAGUUGUAGAGAUGGAAAAUGGAAUGUAGAAACUUGUAGGAUUUGUUCAGAUCAUUUUACCGAUGACGAUUAUGAAAGAGAUCUUCAAGUAAGAGGAAUUAUUAGGACUUGGAAACUAAGAAAAACAUUAAAAGCAAUUGGUAAAUAAUUCAAAGCUUUUCGGCUUUUUUGUAAUAUAAUAUUUUUAGUUAUAUAGGUAUGAGUAGAAUCUUAUGUAAAAAGUAAAAACAGUCAGUCCACCUGGACAAAAUUGAUCCAUUGAGGCAAAAACGAGUUGAACAAAGAAGAACACAAGUGGCGGUGGAGGAAUUACUAAUGAAAAUUUCGAGGAAGGCAAUGUAAAUGUUGCCGAGGAACACAGUACCGUAGCAUCUGGAGCUGUUAUUACUUGUGUUGGUCAUCCAAUGUAUGAUGAAUUAUUGUUAAAAUAUAAUGAAUUGAAAACUAUCCUAUCUCUAAAGGAAGAAUUAUUGAUGGCAGAGGACCAAAAAAUUAAGAAAUAACAAAAACAACUUUUAAAAUCUCAACUACACUUGAAGCAGAAAAGUCCUAUAAAACAGUAGAAUACUAAGUCGGUUAGUUUAUUUAUAAAUUUUAAACUCAACUUUUGUUCUAAAUUUAAACUUUAAGUUUAAAGAAAAUAAUACGUAAAUAUGUACAAGAAAUGCUAAAAAUUUUUUUUUACAAUGUAAGCUAUUUUUAUUUAUAUACAUAUUUAGAAAUUAAUUAUACAAACCAUGUCGUAAAAUUGGUAUUUCUGAAUUGUUUAAAACUAUUUGUACUAAAUUUGCAUAUACAUCAUUUAUAUUACAAAUAAAUAAUUUAUUGCUUUGA